rnacentral:rRNA from 1 species
ACGGCUCAGUAACACGUGGACAACCUACCCUCAGAACGGGGAUAAACCCGGGAAACUGGGUAUAAUACCCGAUAGUUCUGGGAUGCUGGAAUGCGCCCAGGACGAAAGCUCCGGCGACUGAGGAUGGGUCUGCGGCCUAUCAGGUAGUAGUGGGUGUAAUGUACCUACUAGCCUACGACGGGUACGGGUUGUGAGAGCAAGAGCCCGGAGAUGGAUUCUGAGACACGAAUCCAGGCCCUACGGGGUGCAGCAGGCGCGAAAACUUUACAAUGCUGGCAACAGCGAUAAGGGGACCUCGAGUGCCAGGAUACAAUCUUGGCUGUCGUGAUGCCUAAAAAGCAUUGCAUAGCAAGGGCCGGGCAAGACCGGUGCCAGCCGCCGCGGUAACACCGGCGGCUCGAGUGGUAACCGCUAUUAUUGGGUCUAAAGGGUCUGUAGCCGGCCGGAUAAGUCUCUUGGGAAAUCCAGCAGCUCAACUGUUGGGCUUUCAGGAGAUACUGUUCGGCUCGAGACCGGGAGAGGUGAGAGGUACUUCAGGGGUAGGGGUGAAAUCUUGUAAUCCUUGAAGGACCACCAGUGGCGAAGGCGUCUCACCAGAACGGAUCUGACGGCAAGGGACGAAAGCUAGGGGCACGAACCGGAUUAGAUACCCGGGUAGUCCUAGCCGUAAACGAUACUCGCUAGGUGUCGGCCACGGUGCGACCGUGGUCGGUGCCGUAGGGAAGCCGUGAAGCGAGCCACCUGGGAAGUACGGCCGCAAGGCUGAAACUUAAAGGAAUUGGCGGGGGAG